rnacentral:rRNA from 1 species
AACGAACGCUGGCGGCAGGCCUAACACAUGCAAGUCGAACGUGAAGCCACCUUCGGGUGGUGGAAAGUGGCAGACGGGUGAGUAACGCGUGGGAACGUGCCUUUCGGUUCGGAAUAACCCAGGGAAACUUGGGCUAAUACCGGAUACGCCCUUCGGGGGAAAGAUUCAUCGCCGAAAGAUCGGCCCGCGUCGGAUUAGCUAGUUGGUGAGGUAAUGGCUCACCAAGGCGACGAUCCGUAGCUGGUCUGAGAGGAUGACCAGCCACACUGGGACUGAGACACGGCCCAGACUCCUACGGGAGGCAGCAGUGGGGAAUAUUGGACAAUGGGCGCAAGCCUGAUCCAGCCAUGCCGCGUGGGUGAAGAAGGCCUUAGGGUUGUAAACCCCUUUCAGCGGGGAAGAUAAUGACGGUACCCGCAGAAGAAGUCCCGGCUAACUCCGUGCCAGCAGCCGCCGUAAUAC